rnacentral:pre_miRNA from 1 species
AUGGAUGGAAGAGAGCGUCCUUCAGUCCACUCAUGGGCGAUGCUAGGGUUCGAAUUAGCUGCCGACUCAUUCACCCACAUGCCAAGCAAACAACUCUCCCAGCGGGAGAGCUUAGCAGAUGAGUGAAUGAAGCGGGAGGUAACGUUCUGAUCUCGCAUCGUCUUUGCUUGGACUGAAGGGUGCUCCCUCCUCCUCCUCC